AUGAAGAACGCAGCGAAAUGCGAUACGCAAUGCGAAUUGCAGAAUUCCGCGAGUCAUCAGAUCUUUGAACGCAAAUUGCGCCGAGGGGAUAUCCCAACGGCAUGUUUGUUUCAGUGUGUUU
rnacentral:rRNA from 1 species